GAUGAACGCUGGCGGCGUGCCUAAUACAUGCAAGUCGAGCGAACGGACGAGAAGCUUGCUUCUCUGAUGUUAGCGGCGGACGGGUGAGUAACACGUGGAUAACCUACCUAUAAGAUUGGGAUAACUUCGGGAAACCGGAGCUAAUACCGGAUGAUAUUUUGAACCGCAUGGUUCAAAAGUGAAAGACGGUCUUGCUGUCACUUAUAGAUGGAUCCGCGCUGCAUUAGCUAGUUGGUAAGGUAACGGCUUACCAAGGCAACGAUGCAUAGCCGACCUGAGAGGGUGAUCGGCCACACUGGAACUGAGACACGGUCCAGACUCCUACGGGAGGCAGCAGUAGGGAAUCUUCCGCAAUGGGCGAAAGCCUGACGGAGCAACGCCGCGUGAGUGAUGAAGGUCUUCGGAUCGUAAAACUCUGUUAUUAGGGAAGAACAUAUGUGUAAGUAACUGUGCACAUCUUGACGGUACCUAAUCAGAAAGCCACGGCUAACUACGUG
rnacentral:rRNA from 1 species